CCACGCCGUAAACGAUGAUAACUAGCUAUUGGGGCUCAUAGAGCUUCGGUGGCGCAGCUAACGCAUUAAGUUAUCCGCCUGGGGAGUACGGUCGCAAGAUUAAAACUCAAAGGAAUUGACGGGGGCCUGCACAAGCGGUGGAGCAUGUGGUUUAAUUCGAAGCAACGCGCAGAACCUUACCAGCGUUUGACAUCCUCAUCGCGGAUUAGAGAGAUCUUUUCCUUCAGUUCGGCUGGAUGAGUGACAGGUGCUGCAUGGCUGU
rnacentral:rRNA from 1 species